CCUACGGGAGGCAGCAGUUAGGAAUAUUCGUCAAUGGGGGAAACCCUGAACGAGCAAUGCCGCGUGAAGGAUGAAGGUCCUAUGGAUUGUAAACUUCUGUUGUAAGGGAAGAACGACCUAAAUAGGAAAUGAUUUAGGAGUGACGGUACCUUUCGAGAAAGCUCCGGCUAACUACGUGCCAGCAGCCGCGGUAAUACGUAGGGAGCGAGCGUUAUCCGGAUUUAUUGGGUGUAAAGGGUGCGUAGGCGGUAAUACAGGUCUUUGGUAUAAGCCCGAAGCUUAACUUCGGUAAGCCAGAGAAACCG
rnacentral:rRNA from 1 species